UUAUUCUUUUAUUGGGUUCCUGUUUUUUACUUCAGCAUCUUCUUGAUGCAUGAUUAAGGGAACAACUUAAACUCAUAAAUAAUGUACUUAUACUUUCAUCUUUUUCUCUAUAUAAUGUUUAUUCUCAUACUUUAUAUUCAACUAGGUAAUUUCAGUCAAGAAAUGAUCAACAUAUCUUUAAGGUAGUCAUGACAUUGGACGUGCCAGCUCAAAUGAUGAAAAUCCACCUCUAGGUAUCUUCGCCCAUUACUAAUAAGCCUUUGAUUAAAUAAUUAGCCUAGACUGUGUGCUUGCCUCUCUUGUCUCUUCUAACACUAAUUCUCUGCAUAAUGCAAACUGAAGGCAUACAACAUCCAAAGUAGUGGCCAAUAUUAUUUGGAGGGUGCAACCAUUUCAGGUGAUAUUUUGAAUCUUUCUAAUGAGGAUGUGAACCAAUGGGUGCCCUCAUAAGUAAGUGAUCCUUUGCAUUUUAUAUGACUUCCUCCAUUUAACAGAUUAGCGCUUGCCAUCAAUUCCCGAAGUCCGUAAAUAUGGUUAAUGUGCUUGGUAUUCAUUUGAAACAUAUUCAUGGCAGGGGUCCUUGAUAUCUGUAAUCGUGGAUGUGUGUGUUCAUGACAGAUUACUUGGCUAAUGCAUGCCAUUUGUUUUCAGGAAAAAAGCAUUAUGGUCAAGAAUCUAAUUGUUUGAGCAUUAAAAACUGAGAAAUGUAGUUCAACAUAUGGGUAAAGAUUCUCUAGGAAGAACGCCAAUGGGAAUUUGUUGUGCUUUAAUUGAUUAAUCAGCAGAGAUAGAGAGAGUUGCAAUGUUAUUUGCAGGCUCAUUGGUCCUGACUCUUGGAUAAUUUUGCUGCUAUGUAGCUAUUCACAUCAUUAUGUGGAUGCACUUUACUUUGGUUCGGAAUUAUCAUUGUUUUCUUCUCAUUGGUUGGUUUCAUCGCUGUUGCAAAGGUCAUUAUUAUAGUGCAACAAUUAAAAGAGUUGCUAGGGGUAGCCCACUUCACAAGCUAGAUGCAAAUAGUUCAUGUAUUGUCUUCUUUUUCCUAGCUUUUCAGCACAAAAGAUGAAGAAGCUACCAUGUCAGUGUUGAACGAUAAUUAUAUUUUUACUUUUACGAUUUGAAUGUAAUAAAUCUGAGAAUUGGCAUCAUGGAGAGUUGUGGAGUUAUACAUAUACAUUAAAUUUUAUCUCCUA